rnacentral:rRNA from 1 species
AUGGAAGGCCAAGGUGAAGGUGCAUCGGAGCAGAAGCUCAGGUUGGUCUCCAUCGUUGGCCCUGGCGGAAUGGGCAAAACCACCCUUGCCAACGCGGUGUAUCAAAAGCUUCAAGGCAAAUUCGGAUGCACAGCUUUUGUUUCGGUUUCUCUUCAGCCUAACAUGAAGAAUAUCCUCAGCAGCAUACUUCGUCAGGUCACCAGCAAAAUCAAAGAUGACGAGGAGGACAAUGAUAAGAAUAAGAGCCUCUGCAGAGUACGUCGUCAAGAAAGCCAAAAACAUUAUGGAAACACUGAAACGUGGUCUGAAAAGGAGAUCAUCGACAAAAUCAGACAUGCUCUUGAGAAAAGGAGGUACUUGAUUCUCAUUGAUGAUAUAUGGGAUGAAAAACCAUGGAAAAUUAUCAAGUGUGUUCUGGCUGAAAACAAACUUGGCAGUAAAGUAAUCAUGACGACUCGCAAUGUUGAUGUUGCUAGGUCAUGUUGCUCUUCUGACAAAGUUGAUGGUAUCGUUCAUGAACUGCAGCCUCUUUCAGACUGUCACUCUGAACAACUGUUCUAUUACAAAAUAUUCGGUAACUACGGAUGCCCUGCCGAAUUAAAGGUUGUAUCACAGAAAAUAUUAGAGAAGUGCGGAGGCUGGCCAUUAGGUAUCAUUGCCAUAGCUAGUUUACUUGCAAACAAACCAUCACAAACUAAGGAUCAGUGGUGUAGUGUGUACAACUCAAUUAGUACUGGACUCGAGAAUAAUCAUGGUGUGAAGGACAUGAGGUUGAUAUUAUCUCUUAGCUACCGUGAUAUGCCUUUACAGCUAAGAGCUUGUCUUCUGUACCUAAGCAUAUUUCCAGAGGACCAAAUAAUUGGGAGAGAUGACUUGAUACGGAGAUGGAUAGCCGAAGAUUUAGUUCGUGGAAGACAAGAUGAUAACCUGUAUGAGUUAGGAGACAAGUACUUUAACGAGCUUAUUAAUAGGAGUAUGAUCCAGCCAACUGAUGUUGACGUCUUUGGGAGGGCGCAAGCUUGUAAGGUACAUGAUUUGGUACUUGAAUUUAUUACUUUCUUGUCAGCUGAAGAAGACUUCGUCACCAUAUUGAAUGGACAGCAGCCUUUUCCACCUCAGCCGGACAGCAUAUAUCGGCUAUCUCUCCGAAACAGCAAGGGAGAGCAUGGCAUACCUCAGGCUACCAAGAGGUUGCCUCAUGUGAGGACACUUUUCGUAUCCUCGCGUGCUAAUUCAAUGCCACCCCUCUCCAUCUUUCCAGUUCUACGUGUCUUGGAACUAGAGCAAUGCACCAGACGUAACAUCAGAGGUGUGGAAAAUUUGGUUCACUUGAGGUAUCUGAGGCUAAGCCAGGUAUACCAUUAUUACUAUGAUGUUUGCACUAAGCUUCCAGAAGAAAUUGGAAAUCUACAGUUUUUGCAGACACUUGACCUCAAGGAAGCCAGGAUAAAAGAAUUGCCAUCCACUGUGGUUCAUCUCAGGCAAGUGAGGGUGCUAGAGAUUUCACUCCGUAAAUGGGACAAAAGGUGUGAGGAGCGUUUGCUCCAGUGUUUGUGCAAUCUGAAGCAACUUGAAGCUCUUUAUAUCUUCGCUCCAGAUUAUUCACUGGAUUUCAUGUUGCGGGUCGACUGGGCUCCUUCGCACCUCCGAAGAUUUACCAUAUGUGCUCGCCAGAAUGAAGAAAAUGCAUCCCUCACUGCAUUUGUACACUGGUUGGCGUUUAGCCCAUUCUCCACACUACCAAAGUGGAUCAACUCAUCGCUUUCACACCUCUCCAACCUAUCCAUUGUGGUGAAGAUACUGCUACAGGAGGAUAUCUUGAGUCUCGGGUGCUUGCCUGCCCUUUCUUCUCUUUAUUUGCAAGUGAUAGAAGCCCCAACAAAGGAAAGGUUGGAGAUCACAGAGAGAACUGGCGGUCAUGCGAUAGCAUUCUGUUGCCUUGUAAACUUCAGGUUCAUGAGUCGUGCAAUGGGCCUGGUGUUCAGACCAGGAGCUAUGAAGGGGCUGCAGAGGCUUUCUCUUACUUUUGAUGUUGCGGAGACAAAGGAUGUUUAUGUUGAUUUCAACUUCGGCUUGGAGAAUCUUACCUCCCUUCAAGCUUUGGACAUUGAACUAGACUGUCGCUGUGCAACAACUUCAGAGGUGCAGGCAGCGGAGGAUGCAACGUACUUGAAUGCCAAUCAUCCCACCUUUCAUGUGAGCAGACAUUUUACAGAAGACAUGCGAUGUGAUCAAGUGGAGCAGAUCCAUGAGCUGGAAACAAUGAGGAUAGAGGAUGCUGGACUUGCCAGGAUUGGGCCAUGUGGUGAAGGAGGGGGAAGGGCCUGUGACAUCAAGGUGGUACCCCAGCGUCUAGAAAGCGUGACAAUUUACAGCGGCUCUUUGGUAGAAUCACUUGCAUUUUCAUACAGAGACCAUGAUGGGAAGCAUCAUACCGCAGGUCCAUGGGGCAGCCAUCCUGGCGAGAACAACGAUGUCAGUUUCUCAAAGAAGUCUCUGGAACGGUGGGUUCUUACGGUGCAUUAA